UACGUAGGGUGCGAGCGUUGUCCGGAAUUACUGGGCGUAAAGAGCUCGUAGGUGGUUUGUCGCGUUGUUCGUGAAAACUCACAGCUCAACUGUGGGCGUGCGGGCGAUACGGGCAGACUGGAGUACUGCAGGGGAGACUGGAAUUCCUGGUGUGGCGGUGGAAUGCGCAGAUAUCAGGAGGAACACCGGUGGCGAAGGCGGGUCUCUGGGCCGUAACUGACGCUGAGGAGCGAAAGCGUGGGGAGCGAACAGG
rnacentral:rRNA from 1 species